rnacentral:rRNA from 1 species
CAGCCGCCGCGGUAAUACGGAGGGUGCAAGCGUUAUCCGGAUUCACUGGGUUUAAAGGGUGCGUAGGCGGGCAGGUAAGUCAGUGGUGAAAUCCUGGAGCUCAACUCCAGAACUGCCAUUGAUACUAUCUGUCUUGAAUAUUGUGGAGGUAAGCGGAAUAUGUCAUUUAGCGGUGAAAUGCUUAGAUAUGACAUAGAACACCCAUUGCGAAGGCAGCUUACUACGCAUAUAUUGACACUGAGGCACGAAAGCGUGGGGAUCAAACAGGAUUAGAUACCCUGGUAGUCCACGCCCUAAACUAUGGAUACUCGACAUAUGCGAUACACUGUAUGUGUCUGAGCGAAAGCAUUAAGUAUCCCACCUGGGAAGUACGUUCGCAAGAAUGAAACUCAAAUGAAUUGACGG